GGGGGGAGCAAGCGUUGUUCGGAUUUACUGGGCGUAAAGGGCGCGUAGGCGGCCUCUGCAAGUCGACUGUGAAAUCUCCGGGCUUAACCCGGAAAGGUCAGCCGAUACUGCAGGGCUAGAGUGCAGAAGGGGCAACUGGAAUUCUCGGUGUAGCGGUGAAAUGCGUAGAUAUCGAGAGGAACACCUGCGGCGAAGGCGGGUUGCUGGGCUGACACUGACGCUGACAGCGCGAAAGCUAGGGGAGCGAACGGGAUUAGAUACCCCGGUAGUCCUAGCCUUAAACGAUGAAUGCUUGGUGUCUGGGGUUUUAUAGUCCCCGGGUGCCGUCGCUAACGCUUUAAGCAUUCCGCCUGGGGGGUACGGUCGCAAGACUG
rnacentral:rRNA from 1 species